UACGUAGGCAGCAAGCGUUGUUCGGAAUUACUGGGCGUAAAGAGUGUGUAGGCGGUUUUCUAAGUUUGGUGUGAAAUCUCCCGGCUUAACUGGGAGGGUGCGCCGAAAACUGGAAGGCUUGAGUGCCGGAGAGGAUAGCGGAAUUCCUGGUGUAGCGGUGAAAUGCGUAGAUAUCAGGAGGAACACCUGCGGUGUAGACGGCUAUCUGGACGGCCACUGACGCUGAGACACGAAAGCGUGGGUAGCAAACAGG
rnacentral:rRNA from 2 species